AUUGAACGCUGGCGGCAUGCUUUACACAUGCAAGUCGAACGGUAACAGGCCUUCGGGUGCUGACGAGCGGCGAACGGGUGAGUAAUGCAUCGGAACGUACCCAGAGGUGGGGGAUAACGCAGCGAAAGCUGUGCUAAUACCGCAUGUGAUCUGAGGAUGAAAGCGGGGGACCGAGCAGCAAUGUUUGGCCUCGCGCCUUUGGAGCGGCCGAUGUCGGAUUAGCUAGUUGGUGGGGUAAAGGCCUACCAAGGCGACGAUCCGUAGCUGGUCUGAGAGGACGACCAGCCACACUGGGACUGAGACACGGCCCAGACUCCUACGGGAGGCAGCAGUGGGGAAUUUUGGACAAAGGGCGCAAGCCUGAUCCAGCAAUGCCGCGUGCGGGAAGAAGGCCUUCGGGUUGUAAACCGCUUUUGGCAGGAACGAAACGGUGUCCGCUAAUACCGGGCGCUAAUGACGGUACCUGCAGAAUAAGCACCGGCUAACUACGUG
rnacentral:rRNA from 1 species